UACGUAGGGUGCAAGCGUUAAUCGGAAUUACUGGGCGUAAAGCGUGCGCAGGCGGUUAUGUAAGACAGAUGUGAAAUCCCCGGGCUUAACCUGGGAAUGGCAUUCGGGACUGCAAGGCUGGAGUGCGGCAGAGGAGACUGGAAUUCCUGGUGUAGCAGUGAAAUGCGUAGAUAUCAGGAGGAACACCGAUGGCGAAGGCAGGUCUCUGGGCUGACACUGACGCUCAUGCACGAAAGCGUGGGGAGCAAACAGG
rnacentral:rRNA from 1 species